UUGUAGGCUUGUUUGUAGAUUCUGCUUUACAAACCACCAAAGGCGGCGGCGCACAUGGUGCGCUCGUUUGCCAGUUCUUUUUUCCGGCAGGCAAAAUUCUUGAACAAAUCAAGAAAAAACAAGCAGUAUGGGAAAAGCUACUUCAAGAACCACCAUCAAGCUUCAGAGACAGAGCUUUGGAUCACAUAAAAGAGCAAUCUCGAGCUGAUGACUUAGCCUUCUCUUUCCUGACAGAUGCUCUGAACACUGUGAAGGAGAAGAUGGAGUUCAGCUCUUCUGAACGUGACAAAAUAUUUGCUUCAAGUAACUAAAAUCUCUUUUUAAUCGUUUUGUGGUUAUGGCUGUGUUAGACAAUAACUAUUAUUAUAUUUUGGGUACAUGUUUUGAACACAUAUUAUGUUUGCUCUGAAUAUUAAAUCGCAUGAAUGAUAUAGC
rnacentral:lncRNA from 1 species